UCCAGACUCCUACGGGAGGCAGCAGUGGGGAAUAUUGGGCAAUGGGCGCAAGCCUGACCCAGCAACGCCGCGUGAAGGAAGAAGGCCUUCGGGUUGUAAACUUCUUUUAAGAGGGAAGAGAAGAAGACGGUACCUCUUGAAUAAGCCACGGCUAACUACGUGCCAGCAGCCGCGGUAAUACGUAGGUGGCAAGCGUUGUCCGGAUUUACUGGGUGUAAAGGGCGUGCAGCCGGGCUGACAAGUCAGAUGUGAAAACCACGGGCUCAACCUGUGGCCUGCAUUUGAAACUGUAGUUCUUGAGUACUGGAGAGGCAGACGGAAUUCCUAGUGUAGCGGUGAAAUGCGUAGAUAUUAGGAGGAACACCAGUGGCGAAGGCGGUCUGCUGGACAGCAACUGACGCUGAGGCGCGAAAGCGUGGGGAGCAAACAGGAUUAGAUACCCGGGUAA
rnacentral:rRNA from 1 species